GGGGUUGUGGCUCAGUGGUAGAGCGUUUGCCUAGCAUUUAUGAGACCCUGGGUUCGAUUCUCAGCACCA
rnacentral:tRNA from 1 species